UACGGGGGGGGGCAAGCGUUGUUCGGAAUUACUGGGCGUAAAGGGCUCGUAGGCGGCCAACUAAGUCAGACGUGAAAUCCCUCGGCUUAACCGGGGAACUGCGUCUGAUACUGGAUGGCUAGAGGUUGGGAGAGGGAUGCGGAAUUCCAGGUGUAGCGGUGAAAUGCGUAGAUAUCUGGAGGAACACCGGUGGCGAAGGCGGCAUCCUGGACCAAUUCUGACGCUGAGGAGCGAAAGCCAGGGGGAGCAAAC
rnacentral:rRNA from 1 species